UACGUAGGUGGCAAGCGUUGUCCGGAUUUACUGGGCGUAAAGAGCGCGCAGGCGGCCAAGUCAGUCGAACGUGAAAGCCCCCGGCCCAACUGGGGAAAGACAUUCGAUACUGCCUGGCUAGAAGGUAGGAGAGGGAAGCGGAAUUUCAGGUGUAGUGGUGAAAUGCGUAGAUAUCUGAAGGAACACCAGUGGCGAAGGCGGCUUUCUGGCCUAUUCUUGACGCUGAGGCGCGAAAGCUAGGGGAGCGAACGGG
rnacentral:rRNA from 1 species